rnacentral:rRNA from 1 species
CCUACGGGUGGCUGCAGUGGGGAAUAUUGGACAAUGGGCGCAAGCCUGAUCCAGCCAUGCCGCGUGAGUGACGAAGGUCUUCGGAUUGUAAAGCUCUUUUGCCAGGGACGAUAAUGACGGUACCUGGAGAAUAAGCCCCGGCUAACUUCGUGCCAGCAGCCGCGGUAAUACGAAGGGGGCUAGCGUUGUUCGGAAUUACUGGGCGUAAAGCGCACGUAGGCGGAUUUGUUAGUAAGGGGUGAAAUCCCGGGGCUCAACCCCGGAAUUGCCUUUGAGACUGCAAAGCUCGAGUCAGGAAGAGGUGAGUGGAAUUCCGAGUGUAGAGGUGAAAUUCGUAGAUAUUAGGAAGAACACCAGUGGCGAAGGCGGCUCACUGGACCGGUACUGACGCUGAGGUGCGAAAGCGUGGGGAGCAAACAGGAUUAGAUACCCCUGUAGUC